rnacentral:rRNA from 1 species
CCUACGGGGGGCAGCAGUGGGGGAUAUUGGACAAUGGGGGAAACCCUGAUCCAGCGAUGCCGCGUGAGGGAAGAAGGUUUUCGGAUUGUAAACUUCUUUUCUUGGGGACGAACAAAUGACGGUACCCGAGGAAUAAGCCACGGCUAACUACGUGCCAGCAGCCGCGGUAAUACGUAGGUGGCAAGCGUUAUCCGGAUUUAUUGGGUGUAAAGGGCGUGUAGGCGGGAAUGCAAGUCAGAUGUGAAAACUAUGGGCUCAACCCAUCGCCUGCAUUUGAAACUGUAUUUCUUGAGUGCUGGAGAGGC